UGGAUGAACGCUGGCGGCGUGCUUAACACAUGCAAGUCGAACGAACCUUCGGGUUAGUGGCGGACGGGUGAGUAACGCGUGAGAAUCUGCCCUCAGGAGGGGGAUAACGGCUGGAAACGGCCGCUAAUACCCCAUAUGCCGAGAGGUGAAACGAAUUUCGCCUGAGGAUGAGCUCGCGUCUGAUUAGCUAGUUGGUGGGGUAAGAGCCUACCAAGGCUUCGAUCAGUAGCUGGUCUGAGAGGAUGAUCAGCCACACUGGGACUGAGACACGGCCCAGACUCCUACGGGAGGCAGCAGUGGGGAAUUUUCCGCAAUGGGCGAAAGCCUGACGGAGCAACGCCGCGUGAGGGAUGAAGGCCUCUGGGCUGUAAACCUCUUUUAUCAAGGAAGAAGAUCUGACGGUACUUGAUGAAUAAGCCACGGCUAAUUCCGUG
rnacentral:rRNA from 1 species